rnacentral:lncRNA from 1 species
CGCAGUUUGCGUCUUAGCGCAGAUUGCGUCUAAGCGCAGAUUGCGUCUAAACGCAGAUUGUGUCUAAGCGCAGAUUGCGUCUAAACACAGUUUGCAUCUAGGAGCAGUUUAAGCAGAAGUAUAAAGACAAUGUGCUGCUGUUGUACAGCUCAAAAAGUAAUCUGCAAAAAACAGAUUUACGUCUAAACGCAGAUUUACGUCUAGACGCAGAUUUACGUCUAAACGCAGAUUUACGUCUUAAACGCAGAUUUACGUCUGAACUUUGAAACUCGUUUGUAUACUCGCAGAAGGCAGUAUGCAGUUGAAAUCAAGAUGUAAACGUGAACUGAGAUCUGAUGAUUGUGCGAGGAAAGCCGAU